rnacentral:rRNA from 1 species
CGGCGAACGGGUGAGUAACACGUGGGCAACCUGCCCUUGGCUCUGGGAUAACUCCGGGAAACCGGGGCUAAUACCGGAUACGACCACUGAUGACAUCUUCUGGUGGUGGAAAGAAUUUCGGCCAAGGAUGGGCCCACGGCCUAUCAGCUUGUUGGUGGGGUAAUGGCCUACCAAGGCGACGACGGGUAGCCGGCCUGAGAGGGCGACCGGCCACACUGGGACUGAGACACGGCCCAG